UCCCUGGUGGCUCAGAUGGUAAAACAUCUGCCUGCAAUGCAGGAGACCUAGGUUCAAUCCCUAGAUCGGGAA
rfam:TPA: Bos taurus chromosome 6, whole genome shotgun sequence.